rnacentral:rRNA from 1 species
CGUAAGGUCCGAGCGUUGUCCGGAAUCAUUGGGCGUAAAGGGUACGUAGGCGGAUAAGCAAGUUAGAAGUGAAAUCCUAUAGCUCAACUAUAGUAAGCUUUAAACUGCUCAUCUUGAGGUAUGGAAGGGAAGUGGAAUUCCUAGUGUAGCGGUGAAAUGCGCAGAUAUUAGGAGGAAUACCGGUGGCGAAGGCGACUUUCUGGCCAUAAACUGACGCUGAGGUACGAAGCGUGGGUAGCAAACAGGAUU